CUUAUUAAUCAGCGCUGACCAGAGGCCCCUUUUGAAACAAGAGAAGAGGAGAGAGAGAGAGAGAGAGAGAGAGAGAGAGAGAGAGAGAGAGAGAGAGAGAGAGAGAGAGAGAGAGAGAGAGAGAGAGAGAAGGAGAGAGACAGACAGAGAGAGAGUGAGGUAAAAGAAGAUUGAGAAGCCCUGGACAGAUCUUUCUAAAGCCAGAUCAACCAUAGGGUACUUCCCUCCCGUGGCCAAAGUUUAUUUGGCACAACAAAGUUUUUAAUCAGGCCACAGAGACCUGGAUUUCUCUUCAUUUGUUUUACUUCCAGUCUCUCCCUCUGAAGAUGUUGGAGACUUUGUUGCAAGGAAGGAUGGCUUUAGGUCAUAUUGCUAAGGCCUGAUCUUAAAGAUCUAAUUGCUAUUGGAAGAGAAGCCUGUUUCCCAGCUGGGCCUCCACUCUGGAGAUGGUGCAAGGAAGACUGUCCACUCUGCUCUGGGCACCCUGCUGAUGGAUGAGGUGUCAGGCCAGUCGUCAUGUGAGGGACUGGUUUCCAAAUGGGCUACCUAUGGGGUACAACAUGAAACCUAAUGGAAUAGAUCAUUUCCAAAAUCUUCUCUAAGCCUGAAUUUCUAAACAUCUGCUGUGCUACACCAUCGUGGCUCUUACAAAUGUGCAUGCCAGAUCGUCUAUGGUUCCUGACUGCUGGAUAUUCCACGGAGCUUCCUUACAGGCCCCCCCAAACCUGACUUCUUUGAAAUUCUUCUUGAACUCCUAAAAUAACUCAGCCCCCACUAACACCGCCCCCCACCGACACCCCGGGAUUGAACUCAGGACCUUGUGCUUGCCAGGCAGUUGCGGUGCCACUGAGCCAAAUCCCUGGACUUGCCACUACUUUACUCUUUCAGCAGCACCAGGGAUGAAUAUUAGGGCCUCAUGCAUGCCAGAGUAAAGAUUUUUACUUUCUUUCAUCUAAAGUCAGAAAAAUUCAAAUAAGGAGCCUCUUGCUAUUUUUCCUCUUUACCUUCAGUUCGUGGCAAACAGCACAACACUUCAAAUGAACACUCAAGUCAGAGUAAGAGCAAUUAAAAAUUAAGGCAAGCUAGAUGUAUUGGGAAUCGAACUCGGAUCUUUGCUCUUGCGAGGCAGGUGGCAGAACCACUGAGACUCUAACUCAAUCAAAGAGCCUCAGGCCAUCUAAUCAAAUAGAAAAUGAAGUCUACAAAGACAGAGAGGAAACAGAGAGAUUGAUGAAACAGUACGAGGGAUUCACUCACCAGCAGAGCAGUUGAAGAAUGGGAAGUAUACUUUCUAGAAUGGAUACUAUUCUAUAGUAUCCUUAAGGGGUUCAUGGAAAAACUUUUGUAAUAUUCUAAAAGCAUUUUUGUUUUAGUAAGCAAAACAAGACUAUCUGGCAAGCAUCACUUCUGUGGCCCUCACCUGCAGAUAAAAAUUAAAAUUCCAAAGACACCUCCUUUGUUCCCAGAUGAUAUUUUGAUGUACUAGGAAAUAAAAUAUAACUAUUUUAUCUGACUUUAACUCUUUAUACUAAUUAAAGUAAUGCCUUUUUUCUGUCCCAAAGCUAAUCACCUCAUAAAUAGGAAUGUUUCUUUUACCUAUAAAAUGAUUACUAGUAGUUAUUAAUUUCCUUGGAAUUUUGAAUCCAUUUGAGAAGCUCAAUAAGUGGUUUGAACCCUGCUUCAGAUGAACACUCAUGUACAUAUUUUGGAAAAAUUUUUACGGGCUUUAUAAAAUGCUUGAAGUUUGUCUAUGAAUACUUCAGAUGAACUAGAAUUGGAACAAGGUAGGGUUAUGGGUUAAAUGACGCUUUACUAUGACUUGGAGUGGGUUGUUGAUGCCUUGAAAAUAAAAAAUAUUUGACAAGGCACACAAUUCCAGUUGUAGUCUUCAUAAAUGAUAUAGCUUUUGAGCUUAUAAUGAAUGUUUGGAGUUUUUGGAAAUACAUCAAUUUGAACCUUAAAGUGAAACCUGAUCAUUGCUAUCCUUUACAUAUUUA
ensembl:lncRNA